rnacentral:tRNA from 1 species
GGGGGUAUAGCUCAGUGGUAGAGCGCGUGCUUGGCAUGCACGAGGUCCUGGGUUCAAUCCCCAGUACCUCCA